rnacentral:rRNA from 1 species
CACUAGUCGAAUGACUCUGCGCCGAUAAUUUACCGGGGCUAAGCAUGACACCGAAGCUAUGGACAGGAAUGUGGUAGGGGAGCAUUGCAUGCAGCGGAGAAGCAUGACCGAGAGGGCAUGUGGAGCGCAUGGAAGAGAGAAUGCCGGCGUGAGUAGCGGCACGUGGGUGAGAAUCCCACGCACCGAUGGCCCAAGGUCUCCAGAGGAAGGCUCGUCCUCUCUGGGAUAGUCGGGACCUAAGGCGAGGCCGAAAGGCGUAGCCGAUGGACGACGGGUGGAUAUUCCCGUACCCGAUGUGUGGCGAUGGAGUGACGGAGAAGGCUCAGGCAACCAGCUGCUGGAAUAGCUGGGGCAAGCGAGAUACCUGCGCACCAGGGAAAUCCGGUGCGCAUAAGGGGAAGGCGCGAUGCAUACGGAAAGCUUCGGCAAGUACGGAAAAGCUGAGAGCAGGCUUCCAGGAAAAGCUUCUAGCACAACACACAUCGGCCCGUACCGAAAAUGGACACACAUGGGCAAGGAGAGAAUCCUGAGGUGAGCGAGAGAACUAUAGCUAAGGAACUCUGCAAAAUGACCCCGUAACCUAGGGAGAAGGGGUGCUCCAGAAAUGGAGCCGCAGUAAAACGGCCCAAGCGACUGUUUACCAAAAACACAGCUCUCUGCGAAGGCGCAAGCCGAAGUAUAGGGGGUGACGCCUGCCCGGUGCUGGAAGGUCAAGGGGAGCUGUCAGCGCAAGCGAAGCAGCGAGCCGAAGCCCCAGUAAACGGCGGCCGUAACUAUAACGGUCCUAAGGUAGCGAAAUUCCUUGUCGGGCAAGUUCCGACCCGCACGAAAGGCGUAACGAUUUGGGCGCUGUCUCAGCUGUAGACUCGGUGAAGUCUUAGUACCUGUGAAGAUGCAGGUUGCCCGCGACUAGACGGAAAGACCCCAUGGAGCUUCACUGCAGGUUGACAUUGGGCUUGGAUGCAUGAUGUACAGGAUAGGUGGGAGGCUGUGAGCCGUGCGCGCCAGCGUACGGGGAGCCGCUGUUGGGAUACCACCCUUCAUGCAUCUAGGUCCUAACCGGAGGCAACGGGCCACGGGACAGUGUCAGUCGGGCAGUUUGACUGGGGCGGUCGCCUCCCAAAGAGUAACGGAGGCGCCCAAAGAUACCCUCAGCAUGGAUGGAAACCAUGCAUAGAGUGCAAAGGCAUAAGGGUGUCUGACUGCGAGACAUACAGGUCGAGCAGGGACGAAAGUCGGGCUUAGUGAUCCGGCGGAUCCGAAUGGAAGGGCCGUCGCUCAACGGAUAAAAGCUACCCUGGGGAUAACAGGC